rnacentral:misc_RNA from 1 species
ACGUGCUGUGCGUAUGUCAUCUCGACUCUUAUUCUCUUGAGACCGUUUCUUUCCCCCUCGCCCUUUGCGCUCUACCUGAUGACGGGGAACACCUCAGCGUGCUAUCAGAGUCCGGUACCCCCACUCUGUGGAGAAGCCAGGCAGCCUUCCCUAUCGUUGUCAAUGCAGAGCCACUUUUGGUGGUGACAGGGUCCAGCACCCACGACAUGGGGAAGUCAGAGCGAUGUAUCGCUGCUGAUGUCGGCGGUGAGGCCCUGGAUGGCUUUGCGUCAGAGCGAUCUGCGACAGUGAAGACGCCUUUGCCAUACGCGUGAUGGGCGAAGUGUCAGCGUGACUCGAGCGUAUCUCACGCGGUUCUCGCACUGCCCACUGGUGUGGAGGGGCCCGCGCCACCGUGAGGGAUGCCCCAGAGGUGGCGACCGGCAUCAUGGGAGCGGCUGUGAGGCGACCUGCGGGGCGGGUGGGCAGAGUUAGACCGGAGCCGUGUGCAGAUGACUGAGUCGGCGCAUUGCUGUAAAGCGCGUCUACCGCUGCUUGGGACUGGGCGAUUGGCCUACGACAGGCCCGGUAGAGUGGAGUCGAGUUCAUGUUCCAUAGUACAAUGGAGACGUUGAACGAAAAAAAUACCCUACUUGCGCUCUUGUUCCCUUUUGCCCCAAGACUGUGUGUCCGUGACGGGCAAGUGUGUGGAUGCCCCUGUGCGUUUGUCCUUGCGGGGGCGUUGUUUGCUGAGGCUGUGGGCCCGGGGAAAGAAGGGGCGACGCACCGUCGCGUGCAAGAAAAGGGAAAGAAAAAAUAAGGAAACGCGAAAAGGAAGAGCAAAAGAGAGGCACGCGAACCUGAAAGGAUGGGCGGAGGGGGAGGUGGCGACCGCGGCAAGAAGCUGCCAUCUCCGCCCCUUCACGCAGGGAGGCUGUGCCAUAUCUUCUUCCUUUUUCUGCAUCUCUCCCCCUCCUCUGCUCGAUCCUCUUCUAUUCUCUUUCUGUGUUGUUCUCUUGCCAUCCUUUCCUUUGUUUCGUUUGUGCCACGCGCUCCUCACACGUGUGUGCGUGUUACAUUCGUUUGUAUUGUUCUUGUGCAGUUACAUCGCAUAGGAAGUCGUUACGACGCAGAGUCGGAAUGGGCCAGGUGUAGCGAGGUGACGUCUUGUCUUCCACGAAGGAGUUCUCCCCCAGAUGUCUUACUGACCCACGACUUCAUUCUCUUUUUGUUUAUCCCCUGCGAGCGCUGUGGUGGCCCUUCGUAUCCUCCCCUUGCCCCUCAUCUGUUGGAGGUAAAGGUUUGGCAAACACGCCAAUGUGGUUGAGACGGAACGUCGAAGGUGCCAUGAAUGGCAAUCGUUGAGCCGCUGGAACACCGGACGACAACGCGCAACAGAGAAUCGGAAUGAGUCAGACGAACCGUUGCAUGCUUAUUUUCAUGCCUGUCGUCACAGAGCGACCAAGACGGUAUACGGCUGUCAUGAAUGUUGCUCAGUUUCUUCUUCCACUCUCUUGUUCACCCUUUCGCUCCUCUUUUUCGUUCCAACGGUGGACGUGUCGUCUUCCACCUGCCCGUGCGGUCGCCACAACACCGUCGUGCAG